AUUUUGGUGUGCACAGUUGGUAGCACUGUUGCCUUGCAUCAAGAAGGUCCUGGGUUCGACUCCCAGCCGGGAGU